rnacentral:hammerhead_ribozyme from 1 species
ACUAGCUGAAGAGUCCCAAAUAGGACGAGAUGCACAUCUUAGAU